rnacentral:lncRNA from 1 species
CUUGUACUAAAUUCUCUCGCCCCAAGAACCCCGGGCGAUUUAAAUUGAGCCCCGCUAACGUUGACUAUCUUCAAGAACUGCUUUUGGAUCAAGUAUUCGCUUCUCCUUGCUUCUUUCUCGCGUUAUUCCUCUUGAGUUUUGUUACCUUUCGGCUGGAAAUGGACCACUUGCCGCUGGUGUGGCAGUGGUUGGAGCAUGACCAUGUUGAUGAUGAGCUGUCACUGGCCCAUUCCAAGAGGUUUUCUGGAUAGAAAUUCCUUUUCAGGGAGAUUAGAGGGACGGAACCUUUUGACGUAUUCUUUAUGACAGGAGGGUUUCAUGCCUAUAAUCCCAGCACUUGGAAGACGGAGAUAAAAGGGUCGCCGUGAGUUUGAGGACAGCCUGCACUACAGAUUUGCAUACUUGAAGCUUCCUGCUUCCUCCCCGGCCCAGCUCAAAGAUGAAGUUCUCUAUCACUAAGUCUACCUGUUUCCCUAUCCCAGAUGAGGGGGCUUCAAAACACUUAGAGUAAACCCUUGACUUUUAGGGAUUUGCUGCUACAACUGUAAUAAUGAAAUGACUGGAAUUACCACUUUCUAUCCGACUAAAGAAAGGAAUCUGAAACUCUGCCCUACAGUGAUCUGAGCAUGAGAGCAUUUAUUGAAAAAAAUUUUUCCCAUCUGAGACCUCCAAUUUACAGAAGAGCCAGAAGCCUCUAUGGGCUUUCUUCCCUACUGACAUCAACACCCAGCCUAUUGAAAAAAAACUUAAAACUUUGGUUGAGGUGGGAGGUGGUGAUAAUGGUACAGACUUAAUAAAAAUGUGGUUUCCAGUUCCUGAAGAGGAAAUACAGUACUGUUGAAAUCGG